GAAGGUAUAGCUCAAGUGGUAGAGCACAUACUUAGCGUGCACGAGGUCCGAGGUUCAAUUCCCAGUACCUCCU
rnacentral:tRNA from 1 species